CGUAACCGGCCUGAGAGGGCGGUCGGUCACACUGACACUGACAUACGGGUCAGACUCCUACGGGAGGCAGCAGUCGGGAAUUUUGGGCAAUGGGCGAAAGCCUGACCCAGCAACGCCGCGUGAAGGAUGAAAUCCCUCGGGAUGUAAACUUCGCAAGAACGGGAAGAAUAAGUAGGGGACAAUACCCCCUAUGAUGACGGUACCGUUUGUAAGCUCCGGCUAACUCCGUGCCAGCAGCCGCGGUAAUACGGGGGGAGCAAGCGUUGUUCGGAUUUACUGGGCGUAAAGGGCGCGUAGGCGGCCAGCACAAGUCAGUUGUGAAAUCUCCGAGCUUAACUCGGAAAGGUCAACUGAUACUGUGCGGCUAGAGUGCGGAAGGGGCAACUGGAAUUCUUGGUGUAGCGGUGAAAUGCGUAGAUAUCAAGAGGAACACCUGCGGCGAAGGCGGGUUGCUGGGCCGACACUGACGCUGAGGCGCGAAAGCUAGGGGAGCGAACGGGAUUAGAUACCCCGGUAGUCCUAGCCUUAAACGAUGAAUGCUUGGUGUCUGGGGUUAUAAAGUCCCCGGGUGCCGUCGCUAACGCUUUAAGCAUUCCGCCUGGGGAGUACGGUCGCAAGACUGAAACUCAAAGGAAUUGACGGAAUCGA
rnacentral:rRNA from 1 species